CCUACGGGCGGCAGCAGUGGGGAAUAUUGGACAAUGGGCGAAAGCCUGAUCCAGCCAUGUCGCGUGUGUGAAGAAGGCCUUCGGGUUGUAAAGCACUUUCAGUGGGGAAGAAAGCCUUGGGGCUAAUACCCUCGAGGAAGGACAUCACCCACAGAAGAAGCACCGGCUAACUCCGUGCCAGCAGCCGCGGUAAUACGGAGGGUGCGAGCGUUAAUCGGAAUUACUGGGCGUAAAGCGCGCGUAGGCGGUCUGAUAAGCCGGUUGUGAAAGCCCCGGGCUCAACCUGGGAACGGCAUCCGGAACUGUCAGGCUAGAGUGCAGGAGAGGAAGGUAGAAUUCCCGGUGUAGCGGUGAAAUGCGUAGAGAUCGGGAGGAAUACCAGUGGCGAAGGCGGCCUUCUGGACUGAAACUGACGCUGAGGUGCGAAAGCGUGGGUAGCAAACAGGAUUAGAUACCCGAGUAGC
rnacentral:rRNA from 1 species